rnacentral:rRNA from 1 species
UACGUAGGGUGCGAGCGUUGUCCGGAAUUACUGGGCGUAAAGAGCUCGUAGGUGGUUUGUCGCGUUGUUCGUGAAAUCUCACGGCUUAACUGUGAGCGUGCGGGCGAUACGGGCAGACUGGAGUUCGGCAGGGGAGACUGGAAUUCCUGGUGUAGCGGUGAAAUGCGCAGAUAUCAGGAGGAACACCAGCAGCGAAGGCGGCGCUCUGGGCUGGAACUGACGCUGAGGAGCGAAAGCGUGGGUAGCAAACAGG